rnacentral:rRNA from 1 species
GACGAACGCUGGCGGCGUGCUUAACACAUGCAAGUCGAGCGGUAAGGCCCUUCGGGUACGACGAGCGGCGAACGGGUGAGUAACACGUGGGUGACCUGCCUUUAGCUCUGGGAUAAGCCUGGGAAACUGGGUCUAAUACCGGAUAUGACCUCAUGACGCAUGUUGUGGGGUGGAAAGCCUUGUGCGGCUAGAGAUGGGCCCGCGGCCUAUCAGCUUGUUGGUGGGGUGANGGCCUACCAAGGCGACGACGGGUAGCCGGCCUGAGAGGGCGACCGG